GGCCGCUUGGCGCAAUGGUAGCGCGUGGUCCUCCUAUCUUGAUAGGAAAAUCUCAAGACUGAGGUUGUGGGUUCGAGUCCCAUGGCGGUCG